GACCUUACUUGAACAGGAUCUGUUCUAUAGGCUCGUACCAUUGCAUCCUUGAUUUCUAAGGAGACAGGAAACCAAGUCUGGUGGAUGAAUCAUUGCCAUUAGACUAGAGCGUGAUUAAACAGCACCAGUGCCCCGUUGGGGCUCAUGGGUGCGGUAGAUGAUCGUUCUCAGCUACUACAAUCAUGGUGCCUGAGAUGGUCUAAUGGUUAUCUGACAGACUCUUCCAAAACCUUUUUUUCUUCUUUUUGUUGGUGUUUUGGCAUUACCCUGCUCUGGUUUUUGAAGAUAAGCAAGGCUCCCCAUGGCUUCUGGGCUCAGAGCUGCGAUAAUCGCUACAAUUCUUUUCUUGCAGCUGAACCUAUGAAAUUUCAGAUCUUCCCUUCUCCCUUACUUUUCUUAAUUUCAAAGAAUCAAUUUUGCUUUAUUGUAUUUGUUCUUUUCUUUUUUCUUUUUAUAUAGCCCAAAUGAAUUGUCGAUUUAGCCAAAUUGAAUUUUUACUAAGGAAUUCGGCUAAAAUAUAGAUAAGACGAAUUAAUAUAAUUUAUUAAUAAUCUUAUUAAUCUUUAAAAAAAAAAUUAAUUUAAAUAUAAACUAGUGAUUCAAAAAUAAAACUAUAACUUAAACUAAACUAAUUUAAUUAAAUACUUACUAAAAUUAAAAUCUGCUUGAGAUGAUUUUCAAAUAUUUACGAAAUAUACCAAUUAUAUUUAUAAACUAUAUAAAAACAUAUUUACUAAUUAUAAAUUAUAAAAAAUCGAUUAAGAUUACUUAAAAUGACUUUAAGAAGUAUUUGAAUUUUAUAAAAUAAAUUAUUCUAAAUUGUUUGGAAAUUAAGAAGCUGAAUAACUUUCACGUUUUCACAAGUGGGUUCAUUCAAAUUCUUUGAGAUUGCAUCUACCAAACGCAUUUUACAGUGUCGAAAAUAAUUUUUAUUGUCUCUUGCUAAAUGUUUGUUGUCUAAACAAGGAUUCAAAAAUAUAGCAUUCAAAACAUUUAUCUUUGUUGGAUCAGUUUGUUCCACUUCAUAACAUUCUAAUAUUCUACGAUGAAAUCUGUUAAGACAAUAUAUUUUGAAAGCUCUUAUUAUCCCAGUAUAUUUUGUACUUUAUGUAUAAUAUUUUGUACUUUACGUAUAAUAUUUUUUAAUUUUUAUGUGAAAUCUAUAAAAUGAUACAUAAAUUAAUAAUAAUAUAUAAUGAUUUUAAUAUAAUCAAAAAUUAACUUUCAUUAAAUCUCAAAUCAUUCUUUAAAUAAAUAAAUAUAAUAAAUAUUAAUUUAGCGAUUAAAUAAUAUCUCUAUAAAAUAAUAAAAUUUCAUGAUUCUCAUUCUUUAAAUUAAUAAAUAUUAAUUUAGCGAUUAAAUAAUAUUUCUAUAAAAUAAUAAAAUUUCAUGAUUCCACCUAUAUUAAUUUAUAGAGGUUUUAGCGAGCGUACUCAUAAAAGGCGACGAUGGUGAGGUUUUAAUCAGAUAAAAUGUAUUCAAAACUUUCUGCAAAGCGAGCUUCAUCCCAUUAUAUCAUUAUGCAUCAAUUUUUGGUCAAUUUUGUAUAUACAUCUUUCAAAUCAUUAAGGUCAUUCUUAUAUAUUUCUCUGUUAAUGAAAGAAAACAUUUCAUCAAAAUUAUUUUAGGAAUACAAAGAAUAAAUC
rnacentral:lncRNA from 1 species